GGGUUCCCAGAGAAUGGCAGUGCCAGAAACAGCAUGGAAGCUCCACACCCCUUCUUCAUCUCUUACCCCGUACACUUGUAGUGCCUAAUCUCGAUGGUCAGUUUCAUUUGAUUUAGAGAGGCAUUUAACUAUGGAAGGAAGACUUGACCCCUCCUCAGAUGUGGAUCAUUCUCUAAGCUGCAGUUUCUGACUGAAAAAACAAAACAAAACAAAACAAAACAAAAAACAAAACAGGAAGCCAAUUAAGUGCUGGUGUUUCUUUCUCUCUGCUUUCUGAUCAGCACUGAGGAUCAAAUCUCUCCCACCACUGUUUCUUUUCUGUUGUAAUAGACUGUAUUUUUCUGAACUAGAAACCAAAUGAAACCUUCCCAUAAGCUGCUCUCUCUCUCUCUCUCAAGAAUUUGGUCAAAUGGAAGUAACUAGUACAGCAGUGGUUCUCUACCUUCCUAAUGCUGCCACCCUUUCAUACAGUUUCUCAUGUGGUGACACCCAAACAUACAAUUAUUCUAUUGCUACUUCACAACUGUAAUUUUGCUAUUAUUAUGAAUCAUAAUGUAAAUAUCUGAUAUACAGGAUAUCUGAUAUAUAACCCCAAAGGAAUCAAUACCCACAGGUUGAGAACAACACAAUAUCUCUUAUUCUGUAUUCUCUAUAAUAAACCAGUGAAAAUAUUCUGGAUUUUGUGAUCAGUUAAGCACAUUUGUUGACUCCCAAAGAAUAAGGUUUUGAGAACUUCAAUUUAUAGUUAGUGUCAGAAGCACAAAUAAAACAACAGGCUUGUGGUUGGCUUUUGAAGACUAGCAGGCUUGGAACUUGGUUAUUUAAUACUAUCUCCAGAUAGAACUGACUGGAGGACACCCAGCUGUUCUCUGGUGAUUGAGCAUUGCUUGCAUAGGCACCACUCACCCCUCAUGUCAGAGCCUGUUACUGAGUGAGAGGAUAGGAAGACCUCAUUCAGGAUUACAUUUUCAGACAUACUUGUAGUUUUGUAAUAUAAUUUCAAGUCAGAGAGUGUGACACAACUCUUUUUCAUUCUCUGCUUUGGACAUUAAGGUUGUUUGUAGUUCUGUAUGAAUUACAGGAUUCGUUUUGAUAUUUCUCAAGAAAGCUAUAGUAAUUUUGGUAAGGAUUAGCAAAAUCAGUAUUGUUUUGAGUAAUAUUGCUAUUUUAACCAUAUCAGUUCUGUGGAUCCAUGAGCACAAUGUAUCUUUCUAUUUGUUCAUCCCUUGGUUUCUUCAUAUGUGCUGGCUGUUCCUGAACGCACAGCUUUCUCCAGUCAGCAGAUGAACUUAUUCCUCAGUUCAUUUUCUCUCAUGCAUGUCUUCCCCUCUCCCUCCUACUCCCACUCCUCCCAACUUACUUUCUGCCUCUAAAAUUUACCAAUUCUAGAAUAAGUAGAGGCAUAUAAUAUUUGUCCUUUUGUACUGUCUUGUUUAGCCAGAUAUUUUAAGGUUUUAUGCAUGUCAUGUCAUAGCACGUAUUAGAAUUUCAUUCUUUUAUAUGACCAGAUAUCUAAUUGUAUGUACUACAUUUAAUAUGCAUAUCUGCUAAUAGACAUUUGGAUUGCUUCCACCUCUUGUUAUUUAAAUAAUACUGCAGUGAACAUUGGCAUUCUGUUUAGAUGCUGGUUUUUAAUUCAUUUGGGUUGGGUUCUGUAUAUUGUUGGGUUCUGUAUACACUGUAUGUAGAACUGUCUGAAGAUGUGCAGUAUCAGUUAUACCACUUUCCAUCCAUGUCAAGCACGCACAGUGGUCUCAGCCUUUCCACAUCACCAUCAACACUUGUUGGGGGGCGGGGAACAAAAAACUACAGACAUUCUAAUAGGUACAAAGUAGUUAUUUUGCUUGGAUUUUUUGAGGCAUAAUUUAUCUGUCUAUUCCAGACUUUUUCUUGAAUUUACUGUGCAGCACACACUCAUAGUCCCCCUGCCUCUCCCUUCUCACCACCAUGCCUGUCCCAAAGUGGCUUUUUCUCUAAUAGCAGGUAAUAGUGAACAUCUUCUCAUGCGGACGCUGACCACUUGUUUAUCCACUUUGAAGAAAUGUCUAUCCAAGUCCUUUACUCCUUUGUUUGUUAUUUUUCUUGUGUUGUUAUAGAAUUUAUACAUUGUAGAUAUUAAUCCCUUGUCUAGUAUAUGAUUAAUCAAUAUGGACUCAAAUUUAAUUGUUUUUGCUAUCUCUGCUUUUAAUAUCAAUCCAAGAACCCAUUGCCAAAUUCACUGUCAUGAAGAUACAUGUCUCUAUUUUGUUGUGAGAGCUUUACCUAUAGCAUUUAAGUUUUCUCUUCACACUGAGCUACUUGUAGUGUAUGGAGUGUGAUACAGCAUUGCACAUAAGUGCCAAGGCUUUUCAUCACUCUUUCUAGAGGCACUGCUAUCUUCUAGUUCCCUAGUCUAAAUCUGUCCUUAUACCAGUUGCAUACUGUUUUGAUGGCUAUUGUAAUAUGUUUUGACUCAGGAAGUAUAAAUUCUCCAGCUUUUGUUUAAAAUUGCUUUGGCUUUGAACAUCUCUUAAAGACUCCAUAUAAAAGCUUUAGAAUGGGUUUUCUAUUUUUGCCAAAUCUACUGGAAUUGUUCUUCUAUAUUUUUAAAUUAUCAAAUACAAAGUAAGAGCUUACUUAUGAUGUUUUUAUACUUAUAUAAUGUAUUUUGGUCAUCUUCACUCCCUCUGUUACACUGCUAGGAUUUUGAUGGGGAUAUAUUGAAUCUGUAGAUAGUGUCAGGUAGAAUUCAUAUUGUGCCUUGGGGGGUUUAUUGCAUUUUAGAAUGUAUUUUGUAUGUGUGUGGGCUGUGCACUUGUCAGGGCACACAUGUGGGGUCAUUGAGAACCAGCUCUUACCUUCCCGUCAUGUGACUCCAGGGGUGCAGCUCAGGCUGUCAGGCUCAGCAACAGGGCUCUUACCCACCGAGCUGUCUUUCUGGCCUGUUCUGGUUUUUAUUAAAGUGAUAUUUUAUGUUUGUUUGUUUGGUGGGAGUGGGAAAUGUGUACACGCUUGCAUGUAUGCCGCAGUACAUAUGCAGGUUGGUGGACAACUUGGAGCCAGUUUUUUCCUUCCACCAAAUGGAUUCUUGAUGUUGAACUCAGGUUGUCAAGUGACCAGUCUUAACAACAGGUAUAUGGUUAUAGUUUUAAAACUUUUAUAAUACAUGCAUUUGCCUUGCUGUUAAAAUAAAUAUUGUUAGAGAAAUGCCCAGCCUAAAUUAGCUUUUUUACUUAAAGCAAUUUUAGUUUGUUUGUCUGUCAUAAAAUCCAACAGAAAGAAGGUAUAAAUAUGAUCUCAUGAUUCAGUAUUGCUACUUUAAACCUUCUUUUCAUAGAAAUCAAAAACAAAACUUGCUCGCCUUGCCAUAGACUCAUUUUCCCUCAUGUUAGUUUUAUUGUAUUCCCUCAUGUAGCCAGACAUGUUAGUUUUAUUGUAAUAUCUCUUUCUUUCUAGCAGGUUAAAUGUUUAAACUUAAUCAUAGAAGCCAGUUGUCUUACAACAGUUCUUCUUAAUAAAAAAUCACUUUCUGUAUUGGUAUUUUUUCUCCUGAAUUUAAUAAAUUCCACAUUAGUGGUAAUAAGUUGAGGCCUAGAACAUGUCCUAUUACAAAUGAACAAUCGGAUUUCAUUAGGUUGUCCCCCCUGUCCUUUGUACAUAUAUCUUCAGGUGUGUUAAUCCAUUCAGUAGACACAUUAAUGAGCACCGGUUGCAGUGUAAUAUUGGAGAAAGUAAAGCUCGUUGACCUCAACAUGGAGUUUAAUACCUCUAAUUAAAUUAGAUAGUCGGCAGUCAGUAUAAAGAAAUAGCCAUGCCUCUGGCAAGCUAGAAUUAUUUAUGAUCCUGGUUCUAUGUUUUAAACUUGGUAGGGGAAAAGUCAUUUAUAUAUAUUUUAUAAAAACUAAAACAUUCUGGCUUUUUAUUUUAAAUAUAUGGUGGUUUUUAAAAUUAUUUUCAUUUUAUUUUCUCAGAAUGAGAAGUUAAUGUUUCUGGGUCUAUUUAAGUAUAGCAUUGUUUU
rnacentral:lncRNA from 1 species